rnacentral:rRNA from 1 species
GACGAACGCUGGCGGCGUGCCUAAUACAUGCAAGUCGAACGCAGUGGGGACGGGUGAGUAACACGUGGGUAACCUCCCCUCAGAGGGGAUAACACUUGGAAACAGGUGCUAAACCGAUACUGAUGGAUGGACUCGCGGUGCAUUAGCUAGUUGGUGAGGUAACGGCUAACCAAGGCCACGAUGCAUAGCCGACCUGAGAGGGUGAUCGGCCACACUGGGACUGUGACACGGCCCAGACUCCUACGGAAGGCAGCAGUAGAGAAUCUUCGGAAAUGGACGAAAGUCUGACCGAGCAACGCCGCGUGAGUGAAGAAGGUUUUCGGAGCGUAAAACUCUGUUGUCAGGGAAGAAGUAUCUUACCAGAAAGCCACGGCUAACUACGUGCCAGCAGCCGCGGUAAUUC